GAUUUACUUCCUCCGUCCCAUAAUUCUUGUUGAAAUAUUAUAUGUAUCUAGACGCUUUUUAGGAAUAGAUAUAUCCAUAUUUGGACAAAUUUGAGACAAGAAUUAUGGUACGGAGGGAGUAGAAU
rfam:Brachypodium distachyon strain Bd21 chromosome 1, whole genome shotgun sequence.